UUGCGAUACGUAAUGCGAAUUGCAGAAUUCAGUGAGUCAUCGAAAUUUUGAACGCAUAUUGCACUUUCGGGUUAUACCUGGAAGUAUGUCUGUAUCAGUGUCCGUACAUCAACCUUGCCUCUCUUUGUCGGUGUAGUCCGGGCUUGGAGCAUGUGCAGAUGUGAGGUGUCUCGCGGCGUGUGUGUGUGUUGUAAAAUGCACACGCUUGCUGCGAGUCCCUUUAAAACGACACGAUCUUUCUAUUUGCUUUCUACGGAGCGCGUAUCUCGAACGCGGCGGUCCUCGGAUCGCUCGCAGUCGACAGCGACUUCAGCGGAGACAUAUGGAAGAAACCACUAUUCGCGGUACGUUAGGCUUCGGCCCGACAAUGUUGCGUUUUAGUGUGUGGAUUCCGUUUUCGCUUUGAGGUGUACUGUUCGGUUGUGGGCUUGAACCUUGUGUCUCGCUUUGUUAGUAGAGGUGUGUCGAUUUCUGUGGUUUGAUUCCGCACUUUAUGUGUGGGUAGAGAGACUCCAUUUGGGAAACAUUGUACUGCGCGUACGCUUUCGGGCGUGUGCGUGUGUAUCUCAAUUGGACCUGAUAUCAGACGAGACUACCCGCUGAACUUAAGCAUAUUAAUAAGCGGAGGAAAAGAAACUAACCAGGAUUCCCCUAGUAACGGCGAGUGAAGCGGGAUGAGCUCAAGCUUAAAAUCUCUGUGCAAGUUUUGCAUGGCGAAUUGUAGUCUAUAGAGGCGCUGUCAGUGCAGGCAUUCGGGGUAAGUUCCUUGGAAGAGGACAGCAUCGAGGGUGAUACUCCCGUUUGUACCUGAGUGCUUUGUGCGUACGGCACGUUUUCUUUGAGUCGCGUUGUUUGGGACUGCAGCGCAAAGUAGGUGGUAAAUUCCAUCUAAAGCUAAAUAUUGGUGCGAGACCGAUAGCGAACAAGU
rnacentral:misc_RNA from 1 species